rnacentral:rRNA from 1 species
GACGAACGCUGGCGGCGUGCUUAACACAUGCAAGUCGAACGGUGAACUCCGCUUGCGGGGGGAUCAGUGGCGAACGGGUGAGUAACACGUGGGCAACCUGCCCUCAGCUCUGGGAUAACUCCAAGAAAUUGGGGCUAAUACUGGAUAUGACUGCUGACCGCAUGGUCUGGUGGUGGAAAGAUUUAUCGGCUGGGGAUGGGCCCGCGGCCUAUCAGCUUGUUGGUGGGGUAGUGGCCUACCAAGGCGACGACGGGUAGCCGGCCUGAGAGGGUGACCGGCCACACUGGGACUGAGACACGGCCCAGACUCCUACGGGAGGCAGCAGUGGGGAAUAUUGCGCAAUGGGCGGAAGCCUGACGCAGCGACGCCGCGUGGGGGAUGACGGCCUUCGGGUUGUAAACCUCUUUCACCCAUGACGAAGCGUAAGUGACGGUAGUGGGAGAAGAAGCACCGGCCAACUACGUGCCAGCAGCCGCGGUAAUACGUAGGGUGCAAGCGUUGUCCGGAAUUAUUGGGCGUAAAGAGCUCGUAGGCGGUUUGUUGCGUCGGCUGUGAAAACCUGAGGCUCAACCUCAGGCCUGCAGUCGAUACGAGCAGACUAGGGUGUUGCAGGGGAGACUGGAAUUCCUGGUGUAGCGGUGAAAUGCGCAGAUAUCAGGAGGAACACCGGUGGCGAAGGCGGGUCUCUGGGCAGCAACUGACGCUGAGGAGCGAAAGCGUGGGGAGCGAACAGGAUUAGAUACCCUGGUAGUCCACGCCGUAAACGUUGGGCGCUAGGUGUGGGGCUCAUUCCACGAGUUCCGUGCCGCAGCUAACGCAUUAAGCGCCCCGCCUGGGGAGUACGGCCGCAAGGCUAAAACUCAAAGGAAUUGACGGGGGCCCGCACAAGCGGCGGAGCAUGUUGCUUAAUUCGAUGCAACGCGAAGAACCUUACCUAGGCUUGACAUGCACGGAAAUCCUCCAGAGAUGGUGGGUCCGCAAGGGUCGUGCACAGGUGGUGCAUGGUUGUCGUCAGCUCGUGUCGUGAGAUGUUGGGUUAAGUCCCGCAACGAGCGCAACCCUCGUUCUAUGUUGCCAGCACGUGAUGGUGGGGACUCAUAGGAGACUGCCGGGGUCAACUCGGAGGAAGGUGGGGAUGACGUCAAAUCAUCAUGCCCCUUAUGUCUAGGGCUGCAAACAUGCUACAAUGGCCGGUACAAAGGGCUGCGAUACCGUGAGGUGGAGCGAAUCCCAAAAAGCCGGUCUCAGUUCGGAUUGGGGUCUGCAACUCGACCCCAUGAAGUUGGAGUCGCUAGUAAUCGCAGAUCAGCAACGCUGCGGUGAAUACGUUCCCGGGCCU